rfam:Corynebacterium striatum ATCC 6940 genomic scaffold SCAFFOLD4, whole genome shotgun sequence.
ACUCGGGCACGAUCUGCGCCGCCGAUUACUGUAAGUAAGUUGCAAGUUUUAGGGCUUUGCCAGGCAAAAGAGCGUAGAACCGACCCGUAGUUUCAACCCUGAGGGA